AUGCCGUGAUGAGGGCACUUUCGUAAUAAAUCCUUGAACCGCUCCCAUGCCUCAUAUAAAGAUUCUUCAUCAAGUUACUGAAAUAAAGUGAUUUCAUUUCGGAUCUU
rfam:Gossypium raimondii Chr02_contig_494, whole genome shotgun sequence.